CAGCACCUCAAGUGGUCAGGAUGAUUAUUGGGCCUAAAGCAUCCGUAGCCGGCGCUGUAAGCUUUCGGUUAAAUCUGUACGCUCAACGUACAGGCUGCCGGGAAUACUGCAGCUCUAGGGAGUGGGAGAGGUAGACGGUACUCGGUAGGAAGGGGUAAAAUCCUUUGAUCUAUUGAUGACCACCUGUGGCGAAGGCGGUCUACCAGAACACGUCCGACGGUGAGGGAUGAAAGCUGGGGGAGCAAACCGGAUUAGAUACCCGAGUAGUCC
rnacentral:rRNA from 1 species